GCCCGCGCGCCAGCGGGGAGCGGCGCCAUUUCCUGCCCUCCCCCGGCGCGCGCCGGCAGCGCCUGAGGCGGCGGGGACGGGCAGGGCACGGUGAGGGCACGGGCAGCGGUCCCCGGGCCGCAGCUCCUGCUCGGCCGGGGCCAUCCGCGCUCCCUUGGGCCGUGCGCGGGCCCCGCGGGGCCGCACGGCUGGGCCGGGGACGGUGAGCGCUCUGCCUUUCCCUUCCCGGCCUCCAGCCGCGUUAUCUCCGGCUGCCAUUCCAGCCCGGCUCUGAGGGAGAAGGAUGCUGUGCUUAAAGCUGUGCUUGGGAGUGUUAUUCUUACGAGGUUUUUAGAAUCCUUGUCUAUCUCAGCUGGACUGUGACAUCUCAGGAAAUCAUUCAUCAGCCACUUGAAGUGUUUGUUAACAUACCUGGAGUUCAACUAUCUUCAGGGCAGACCUCAUCAAAUCUGAUGUGUGUUCCCAGCUGAGCUGACAGAGCUCCUCCACCUGCUACAGACACAUUGCUCCUACUAUUUGAACAAGAAGCUGGAUUCUUAUGGGAAAUGCUGUGGCAACAUUUAUGCUCUAUUACUGCGUGUAUUGCAUUAGAAAAGUGACCCACUCUGUUACAACUUGGCUACAUGAUAUGUACUUUGCUAUUUUCUGUUUUAAUAUCUUUUUGCCCAAAAGGGCAGUUUUUCAUGUAACAAUGCUAGGACUAUAAAAGACUUACAGUGUUCUUAGACCAUACAUAUCGGCUUUAAAGUAAUUUUUACUUACUUCCUUGUGAUCUUCAACUACACUGAGAAGUGUAUCGAUAGUAUUCAAGAUUCCCAUUGCUGUCACUGCUUUGUCAUCACUGCCCUCUUCAUCUGGACCAGUCUGGAUUACUUGGUUAAAUGUCAUUGCCUGCACAUAACAGCAGAACAACCCAUCAAUGUGUCAUUAAAUUGUGAAAGUCUGGCACUCUACACAAUUUCAGAAGGACUUCUGCUGAGAAAAUGUGUACAAAUAAUAGCAGGUGACUGCUCUGCUCCAGAAUUUCUUCUCAGGAUGAGAAAAUUUGGAUGUUAAACCAUUGGAGCUGUCUUCACCCUUUAUCUACUCCUGAAUAAAAAUAUGUAAAUGACAUUAUGUCCCAUGCAAAAGAAUACAUUUUCCCUUGGCAAAUUCUUCUGACACAGGGUUUCCUCAGUAGCUGAACUAGACUGGAACACUUGGCAGGCAUUCCCAGAGAGGACACACUAACAAUUCCAUUUUAACUCCAAGGCUUUUAAUAGGGAAGCACUGAGCUGACCUCUGCUUUGGCAACCAUUAAUACAACUUGCUAGAUAUGGCCAUCCAAGCUCUGUAUUUCUCCUGCAGAUUCAACUUGAUUUUCACACCAAACUUUUAAUUGAAAAUUUACUCUUUAAUGUUUUAAAACAGCUAAGUGUCGUUUUAGAGACUACCUAAAAUGUGCUACAAUUUCAUUAUUACCACUAUCAGGAGGAAAUACACAAAGAUUCCACAAACAUUUCUAGAAUCGUUAGAGAAAUUGCUACUCAGUGUAAGUUAUGAAGCCACUUCUGAUGAAACACUGUCUAAGUGUAGAAGAAAAUUCAUUGUAUCAAUGCACUUAAACAGACUGGAGUAACAACAACUAUUAAUUGAUGGUCAUACUCAACUAUCAAUUUUAAAUACCAAUCUUUCCCAUAUUAAACAUCUUCCCAAGCCACUGUAAAGUCUCACCAAAUGCUGUGUCAUUUCUACUGCAAUUGGGGUAACUUCUUCACUAUAUUCACAGAUCAUCUUCUGAAUCACAUUAGUAAGAUCAUCAUUUUCAGUCUCUCUUAUAAUAUGAAGCAAAGCUUGCAUUACAGGUCUAAUGAAUGGAGUAAUAUAUUCUUUAGCUGUAAAACAGGUGGAAUGUUUGAAUUAACAUUCUUAGAAAAGCACAGGUCAGUUUAAGAACCUACAUCUCAAAUAACUUUAUGUACUGCUUCAGCAUUAACAUGCCAAAACCACAAGUAGAAUAAAUCAUUAUAGCAAUACUACCAUGCAGAACAAAUUUUAAUAAUAUAUAACAAUAGGAUUGAAAUUUAAGUAUGUAAACCAGAGCACUGUGAUCUGAAUUAAUAAAAUGCAAGAUUAUUGAUCAAUGCAAAUGUUAAUUGAAUGGGAAUUGGUAUAUAUACACCUUUGUCAAAUUACCUGAAGUAUUAAAUAUACAGUUUAUGUUUGCUUUGUGGCUUUUAUGCCAGCUUCAGGAAUACUAAGCCAUGUAAAACCUACCUGGAUAAGGAUAGUUUUUUUUUUUUCUUUAAAUAAAUUUUAACAUGAAUGAA